UUAUUUCUAUCAUGUUUACCUGAAUGUAAUUAAUCCAAUAGAAAAUAUUCCUUAAGCUCCAUUAAACCCAAAACUUCGUCCUCGUUCCCAUUUUCAUGGCGUCUUCUCUCCAUUUCCACUCUCCUCUCCUCCUAAUUCCUAAACCCUAACCCUAUAUCCAAAUCCUCUUCCCAUUUUCUAAGGCCCUAAUCCUCUUGCUCUCUCCCUCUUAAAUAUCAACGACGUUCUCAUUAAAGAUGGAAUCUUUUCGAUCGAAGAGAGCUAGUGUAUUUUUGCCUCUCCAUCAAGAAUGAAAUAGGAGAGGCAGCGGCGGACGAGGAGGCAAUAGGUGGCUUUAGGUCUUUGGUUGCGUAGCUGUGCAAUCAUUUCUAUCGGCCAAUUUGAUAAAAGAUCCUUCAUGCAGCAAUCAUAGUUAUGAUUUUCAUCGUUAAUCUACAAGAUGUUGAAAUUCAACCACAAAAGUUGUUGAAGACCAAUAAUCAUUUGACUAAGUGAAUUGCAUUGUUCGAGGCCAUUAAUCGUUUGACUGAGUAAAUUGGACUUUUUUGCUUGCACACACCUUGGGUGUGAUAUUGUAUAGUAUUGCUAUAUUUGUAGAAAAUACAAAGAAUUUUCUAGAAUCAGAUAUUAAUCAUACAUGAAUAUCUAUGAAAGAGCUAAUGUGGAGUUGUUGGGAAAGCAAAAUACCUUAAAAAUAGAGGAGUUUCUUUGGCUGCAUCGCUGCUCGCCUACCCACUUCUUUCUCUGAAGAUGUGUUAUAUUAUGUAGUCAUUGUUUACUCUUCCUUUUUGUAUAUUUUGAAAAACAUGUUGAACCAGAACCUGAUAAAUUCUCUAUGUCAAACUUUCUAAAUUCAUGAAGAUUUUUGAGAAUUGUUGAUUAUAUAUGCUUAAAUCUCUAAUGAAGAAAUAUUACAUUAUACCAUCAUAUUUCCUGAGAAUGCAACUAAAUUAUGAUUAUGUCUAACCAAUCCUGUUUCUUGUUUCAUUGUGGUGAUUUGCUGCUAGAAUAUGCCUUGGUUACUGUUGGUGCACUGUCAGUGACUUGUCUAAGCUUUUGCUAGGACUUGUGUGUUGUUUCAUUGGUGAUUCAAUUACUGCAUUUAUUUUGUUUAUGAUAUCUAUUCAAGCAUUAAAACUUUUGUUCCUGUUCCAGAGCUUGACAAGAAUUAUCUUUUUGGUAUCUAACAAUGUUGGUCAUUGCUGAAGCUCUCUGACUCAGUGAACUGCAAACCAUAUCUUCUUGGUUUUGCUGCGGUUCGGUCUGUUAAGGGCUAAGGUGCAUGGGUACAGUUACAGGUGUUGGUACUGGUACGGGUAUGCGACACAACAAAUUUGUGAAAAGUAGGGUAUGGGAAUACGGCUGUAAAUACGUAUGUUAUGUAUAUUUAUAUAUAUUAAGAUUAAUAAUUUACAUAAGAUUGAUAUUAUGUUUUCCAUUUACAUGAGAUAAAUUUAUUAUAAAUAGAUGUGGAGUGUAGACUAUACAUCCAAGUAGCGUGUGAGGUGUGUUUUAAAUUAAAACAUGUAUAUACUUGAGUAUAAGCUUGAACAAAUGGGUGCAUAUAUUCAAGAAGUGUCCAUGAAGUUUGGGUACGGGUCCGGGUCCGGGUUCGGUAGGGGUAUUGCUUCCAAAUAGAAGUACCCUGGUAACAUAGGUUAAGGGUUAUGCUUGAGCCAUUCUUUCAGUUACUU